UCUCGAUAGCGUACAAGUUAACUCCUAUUUGUAUGGAGUUGAAACGUUUGUCUACGUUUGCUCCUAGGGGCUCUGCUCCAACUGCAUACAAAUUUGAGUUAACUUUUACGCAAUAGA
rnacentral:pre_miRNA from 9 species